UGAAGUUUUCGGAUGGAUUUAAAACAGCUUAGUGGCGGACGGGUGAGUAACGCGUGGGUAACCUGCCUCACACUGGGGGAUAGCAGCUGGAAACGGCUGGUAAUACCGCAUAAGCGCACAAUGUUGCAUGACAUGGUGUGAAAAACUCCGGUGGUAUAAGAUGGACCCGCGUCUGAUUAGCUAGUUGGCAGGGCAACGGCCUACCAAGGCGACGAUCAGUAGCCGACCUGAGAGGGUGACCGGCCACAUUGGGACUGAGACACGGCCCAAACUCC
rnacentral:rRNA from 1 species